rnacentral:rRNA from 1 species
AUUGAACGCUGGCGGCAGGCCUAACACAUGCAAGUCACGCGGGGUGAUGGUUCUUGCACUAUCACUUAGCGGCGGACGGGUGGGGAAUGCUUAGGAAUCUGCCUAUUAGGGGGGGACAACAACUCGUAAGUGAUGCUAAUACCGCAUGCGUCCUACGGGUGAAAGCAGGGGAUCACUUGUGACCAUGCGCUAAUUGAUGAGCCUAAGUCGGUUUAGCUAGUGGGUGGGGUAACGGCUUACCAAGGCGACGUUUGUUGGCGGGUCUGAGAGGAUGAUCCGGCACACUGGGACUGAGACACGGCCCAGACUCCUACGGGAGGCAGCAGUGGGGAAUAUUGGACAAUGGGGGGAACCCUGAUCCAGCCAUGCCGCGUGUGUGAAGAAGGCCUUAUGGUUGUAAAGCACUUUAAGCGAGGAGGAGGCUCUUUUGGUUAAUACCCAAGAUGAGUGACGUUACUCGCAGAAUAAGCACCGGCUAACUCUGUGCCAGCAGCCGCCGUAA